GAAUAGGAGGGCGAUCUGGCUCUGACAUCUGUCACCCCGCUGAUCGCCAGCAUGGAUUCAGCUGAUCUGGCUGGCUAGGUGUGUCUCUCCUUCCUCCCUCAAUGCUGUUUGUCCCUCCCAAAGCUGUGUGCUUGGUCAGAUUGAAGAGCAUAACCACCCCCAACAGAGAAGGCCGAUUGCUGAACCAGAACAAUUAGUAAUGAUAAUGGAACAGAUUCAUUAGUAAUGAUAAUGGAACAUUUAAAUGAUAAAUCAUUGAAAAAUAAAGUCAAAAGACUUUUAAUAAUGAACUUUCUCAAAGCAUUCAUUUCCUU
rfam:Cavia porcellus supercont2_31 genomic scaffold, whole genome shotgun sequence.